rnacentral:rRNA from 1 species
UACCAGCACCCCGAGUGGUCGGGGCGAUUAUUGGGCCUAAAGCAUCCGUAGCCGGUCAUGCAAGUCCUCCGUUAAAUCCAACUGCUUAACAGGUGGGCUGCGGAAGAUACUAUAGAGCUAGGAGGCGGGAGAGGCAAGCGGUACUCGAUGGGUAGGGGUAAAAUCCGUUGAUCCAUUGAAGACCACCAGUGGCGAAGGCGGCUUGCCAGAACGCGCUCGACGGUGAGGGAUGAAAGCUGGGGGAGCAAACCGG